UAGUUUGAUUCUGGCUCAGGAUGAACGCUGGCGGCAUGCCUAAUACAUGCAAGUCGAACGGAGUGAAGCCUUCGGGUUUCAUUCAGUGGCGAACGGGUGAGUAAUACGCAGGGAACCUGGCCAUGGCAGGGGGAUACACUCUGGAAACGGAGCAUAAGACCCCAUAGGCAGUAAGGCGGCAUCGCCUUACUGUUAAAGAAAGCUGAAAGGCUUUGGCGAUGGAUGGACCUGCGGUGCAUUAGCUUGUUGGUGAGGCAACGGCUUACCAAGGCGAUGAUGCAUAGCCGGCCUGAGAGGGCGGACGGCCACACUGGGACUGAGACACGGCCCAGACUCCUGCGGGAGGCAGCAGUAGGGAAUUUUCGUCAAUGGGCGCAAGCCUGAACGAGCAAUGCCGCGUGAGUGAGGAAGGUCUUCGGACUGUAAAGCUCUGUUGCCGGGGAAAAAGGGGAAAUGCAGGAAAUGGCAUUUCAUGGAUGGUACCCGGCCAGAAAGCCACGGCUAACUAUGUGCCAGCAGCCGCGGUAAUACGUAGGUGGCGAGCGUUAUCCGGAAUGAUUGGGCGUAAAGGGUGCGCAGGCGGUCUGUUAAGUCUGAAGGCAAAGGGAUGAGCUCAACUCAUUUAUGAUUCAGAAACUGGCAGACUUGAGGACAGGAGAGGGCGGUGGAACUCCAUGUGUAGCGGUAAAAUGCGCAGAGAUAUGGAAGAACACCAGUGGCGAAGGCGGCCGCCUGGCCUGUGACUGACGCUGAGGCACGAAAGCGUGGGGAGCAAAUAGGAUUAGAUACCCUAGUAGUCCACGCCGUAAACGAUGAGGAGCAGGUGUUGGGAGUGAAAUCUCAGUGCCGAAGCCAACGCAGUGACUCCUCCGCCUGGGGAGUAUGCACGCAAGUGUGAAACUCAAAGGAAUUGACGGGGGCCCGCACAAGCGGUGGAGUAUGUGGUUUAAUUCGAAGCAACGCGAAGAACCUUACCAGGUUUUGACAUCGGAUGCGAAGGCGCAGAGAUGCGCUGGAGGCUAUCAUCCAGACAGGUGGUGCAUGGUUGUCGUCAGCUCGUGUCGUGAGAUGUUCAGUUAAGUCUGGCAACGAGCGCAACCCCCGUGGUAUGUUACUAACGCUUUAGGGCGAGGACUCAUAUCAGACUGCCGGUGACAAACCGGAGGAAGGCGGGGAUGACGUCAAAUCAUCAUGCCCCUUAUGACCUGGGCUACACACGUACUACAAUGGCGUCUACAGAGGGAAGCGACCCUGAGAAGGGAAGCGAAACCGGAAAAGGGCGUCCCAGUUCGGAUUGAAGUCUGCAACCCGACUUCAUGAAGAUGGAAUCGCUAGUAAUCGCGGAUCAGCAUGCCGCGGUGAAUACGUUCCCGGGCCUUGUACACACCGCCCGUCAAACCAUGGAAGCCGGCAACGCCCGAAGCCGGUGGCAUAACCUUUUAGGAGUGAGCCGUCGAAGGCGGGGCCGAUGACUGGGGUUAAGUUGUAACAAGGUACCC
rnacentral:rRNA from 1 species